rnacentral:misc_RNA from 1 species
CACAAUAAACAUAUGGAGGCUGCACCGCCAACAGGCGGCAAGGCUGGAGUAUUUUAUUACCCUUGUCUUUUGCGCACUUGUUGUUUCCUGGGCGGGUUCGCCCGCCUCCAGGACCACAUGAUAAACCUUUUUUAUGCAGUUGCAAUCAGCGUCAGUACAACAAAUGUAAAUCAUUUA